GGUCGGGAUGGACCAGGUGGCCCAGCAACCCUGAGUCUCCCACCCACCCACCCAGCUAGGGCUAAGGGGAGGGGGGCAGCAUGCCUGACUGCCUCUUAGAGGCGGGAGUCUCUGCCCCCCAUACUUCUACCAGGCUGCCCACAGGAAAAGCUGGGGCUUGAUGGAGGGCCCUGUGUCCAAGGCCUGUUCCUGCCCCUCUGUGCUCUCAGUCCUAGGCUGGAGCCAGCACCCUCUGUCUGCUGCCAACCCCAGUGGGCCUGCUGUUUGUUUUCAGACGUGGUCCCCAGAGCACAUUUCCGGCUGUGCCCGGAGGUGAGAGGCCUGGGUGGUUCUUUCCCAGCCAGCAGAACAAUGGCCAUCCUGAAUGACCCUUGGAGUGGGCGUUUGGGUGCGUCUGAGGAGGUGUCUGGGCAAGGGGCCCUUAGGCAGCCAGAGGAGGAUGGAAGUUGCCUCUAUGCUAGCACCCAUUAAGAGGACCUACUGUGAGUUGGGGCAGGGAAGGGGAGGGGCAGAGAAGGUGGAACAGCAAGCCCCUCCCCCCACUUGGGGUGGCUCCCUGCCACUGCCCACCACUUCUUCUCCAUGACAGAGUCAUAGAAGCAUUGACAGCCAGAGCUCCCUGGGCCCCUGGUCUGAGUCUCAGGCACUACUUCAUAAACCAAGCAGUGUCUCUACAGCCUGACUUCUCUUCCCCAGACCCCAAGCUGCCAGGCCAGAUUUCCUGGGAUGCCCAGACCUCUGAUGGGAGUCCCCCUCUCCACCAUCAGGGGCUGCAAGCUGAUGGAGAGGAUUCACCCACCCCCCCUGAUGAACAGGAGAUGAGGCAACAGCAGCUGUGGCCCCCUGCCCACUUCCCACUGCCCGGCCCCUGCCCACUUUUGCCAUGGGUACCACUGGUGGGCCCGUUCCCUGGAUUCCCUGUCCUAAUGAAGCCUUUCACUUUCCCCACUGGAUUUUUAUUAAGGAAACUCUUGGUUCCUCAAUGCAGCCUUUUAAAAGAUCAUUCUCCCCAUGUGGAGGACAAUAAGAAAGAAGUUAAUUUAAAAAAAAAAAAAAAAGAUCAUUCUUCACCGAGGAUGG
rnacentral:lncRNA from 1 species